rnacentral:rRNA from 1 species
AGUGGCGGACGGGUGAGUAACGCGUGGGUAACCUGCCUCAUACAGGGGGAUAACAGUUAGAAAUGACUGCUAAUACCGCAGUAAGACCACGGAGCCGCAUGGCUCAGUGGGAAAAACUCCCGGUGGUAUGAGAUGGACCCGCGUCUGAUUAGGUAGUUGGUGGGGUAACGGCCUACCAAGCCGACGAUCAGUAGCCGACCUGAGAGGGUGACCGGCCACAUUGGGACUGAGACACGGCCCAA